rnacentral:rRNA from 1 species
UACGAAGGGGGCUAGCGUUGUUCGGAAUCACUGGGCGUAAAGGGCGCGUAGGCGGCCGAUUAAGUCGGGGGUGAAAGCCUGUGGCUCAACCACAGAAUUGCCUUCGAUACUGAUUGGCUUGAGACCGGAAGAGGUAAGUGGAACUGCGAGUGUAGAGGUGAAAUUCGUAGAUAUUCGCAAGAACACCAGUGGCGAAGGCGGCUUACUGGUCCGGUUCUGACGCUGAGGCGCGAAAGCUAGGGGAGCAAACAGG